CACAGCUUCAACUCUAGAAUCCCUAAACCAGCUCCUGCUCCAGCAGCUCAAGCUCACCCUCGUUCUUCUCUGCCGCCUGCGUAUUCCUCUUUACCGCCCAGCACCUCCAGUAACACAGCCACUUUAAAGAAUGAUGAGCAGUCAAAGAGCACAAAGUUCACAUGCAUCUUUCAAAAGAUCCACAAUGUAUGAUCAAGGCAUCAAUUCCAAUUCGACAAGUAAAGAUGAUGACUUAACUUCUCAUGCUGGAUCAAAUUUAUAUGGUGCUAAAAGAUCAUAAUUGUCAUAUCGUGAAGGCUGUGUGAUCAUGGAGAUUGAUAGGAGAUUGUGAAUAUCAAUCUGAAUUUGAAAGCUGGUUGUGUGAAACCUAUGUGUAAUGUAUGAGAACUAUGUGUAAUUUGGUCACUUUGAUUAUUUAAACAUAUGCUGGUCUUUGGAACUAUGUGUAAUGUGUCCCCUUUUGUAGUUUUUUAAACAUAUUCUGACCUUUGCCCUCUCACUCUCUAUUUCGCUCCUGCAAAUGUGUAGCAAUAUGAAUACGAAAACAUGGUGACAAUUUUCAU